UGCCACAGCCAUAUCACCCUUCAGCCCUAGACCGGUUACUCACUGAAGCUAUGCAGGGCUGAGCCUGGUCAGAACCCGGAUGGGAGACCAAAUGGGAAAACUAGGUUGCUGUUGGAA
ensembl:rRNA 5S_rRNA 5S ribosomal RNA